GACGAAGAACGUAGCGAAAUGCGAUAAGUAAUGUGAAUUGCAGAAUUCAGUGAAUCAUCGAAUCUUUGAACGCACAUUGCGCCCCUUGGUAUUCCGAGGGGCAUGCCCGUUCGAGCGUCAUUAUACCCCUCAAGCCUAGCUUGGUGUUGGGGCCUGCUGUUACCGGCAGCCCUUAAAAUCAGUGGCGGUGCCAUCUGGCUCUAAGCGUAGUAAUACUUCUCGCUACAGGGUCCCGGUGGAUGCUUGCCAUCAACCCCUAAUUUUCUAUGGUUGACCUCGGAUCGGGUAGGGAUACCCGCUGAACUUAAGCAUAUCAAUAAGCGGAGGA
rnacentral:misc_RNA from 1 species